UAAUAAGUGUUUUAUGGCACUCUUUAAAUCCAUAUCCACCUUGUGUGCAAUGUCAGUCGAUCUUCUUCAUGGAGAUCGACCAAACAUCAACCUUUAUUUUUAACUCUUUGUCUGAAAAAUAUUAUGAGUAAACAAUUCAAAAUAC
rnacentral:misc_RNA from 1 species